rnacentral:tRNA from 1 species
GCCCGUUUAGCUCAGUGGUAGAGCACCAGUCUCGUAAACUGGGGGUCGAUCCCGGCAGGGGGCA